rnacentral:rRNA from 1 species
ACUCCUACGGGAGGCAGCAGUGGGAAUAUUGCACAAUGGGCGCAAGCCUGAUGCAGCCAUGCCGCGUGUGUGAAGAAGGCCUUCGGGUUGUAAAGCACUUUCAGUUGUGAGGAAGGUGGUGUCGUUAAUAGCGGCAUCAUUUUGACGUUUAGCAACAGAAGAAGCACCGGCUAACUCCGUGCCAGCAGCCGCGGUAAUACGGAGGGUGCGAGCGUUAAUCGGAAUUACUGGGCGUAAAGCGUGCGCAGGCGGUUCUGUUAAGCGAGAUGUGAAAGCCCCGGGGCUCAACCUGGGAACUGCAUUUUCGAACUGGCAGACUAGAGUCUUGUAGAGGGGGGUAGAAUUCCAGGUGUAGCGGUGAAAAUGCGUAGAGAUCUGGAGGAAUACCGGUGGCGAAGGCGGCCCCCCUGGACAAAGACUGACGCUCAGGCACGAAAGCGUGGGGAGCAAACAGGAUUAGAUACCCUGGUAGGCUCU